rnacentral:lncRNA from 1 species
AUGCUCUGGCUGACCAGGAAAAGAAACUUCAGCUGGUCCUUCCUCUCCAGGUCCAUGGACGCACAUUUCUUUAUGCAUAACCCACUCUCCAGAGUGGGGACAACACGCGGCACAUGCACUGCAGUCACGAUGUGUGAACCGCCUGAAAGACAGUGGUGUGGUGCCGGCCAUCAGUCCCCAGAUGCUGCUGUGCCUGUCGCCUGCGUCCCUGAACAGAGAUGGAUGUGCCUGGCACGGGAUCCAUCACACAGAGCAGAGCCAGAAGAUGGAGAGCCCAGCCAGCAUGCUGGGAAAGCGCGACCCCACCCCACCACCCCUUCCUGGGGCAGCCUCACUCCAAGGGCACAAGAUUCACGCGCUGCCUACACAGAAUGCAUAAAACCUCCACUGUGUCUGGAUGGGAAGCCACCUCGGAUCCAUGCUGGAAGGAGAUGGGCGAUCAAUCAGGAAUAAUAAAAUAUGCAGGAGCCGCUGCAUUUGCGAGCAUGCAGGCGAGGAAGAGCAGAGCAAGACAAGGAGGCUCGGACAAGCGGGGGCCACGGGCCACUCCGCAGCCAUUCCCGGGGGAGGUGGCCUCUGCUUUCAAGAGGAAGCGACCCUGAGUUGAACGCAGUGUAAUCAAGCUAUGUGGUGAGGGUUAAACAGAAAACAAUUUAUUAUGGGGAAAGCUGCACUGCCGGAAGCUCCUGUCCCGGGACACUCCCCGC